CCUACGGGAGGCAGCAGUGAGGAAUAUUGGUCAAUGGACGCAAGUCUGAACCAGCCAUGCCGCGUGCAGGAAGACGGCUCUAUGAGUUGUAAACUGCUUUUGUACGAGGGUAAACGCAGAUACGUGUAACGGUCUGAAAGUAUCGUACGAAUAAGGAUCGGCUAACUCCGUGCCAGCAGCCGCGGUAAUACGGAGGAUCCCAGCGUUAUCCGGAUUGAUUGGGUUUAAAGGGUGCGUAGGCGGUCGGAUAAGUUAGAGGUGAAAUCCCGUGGCUCAACUGCGGAAUUGCCUCUGAUACUGUUCGUCUCGUGCGUAGUUGCGGUAGGCGGCAUGUCUGGUGUAGCGG
rnacentral:rRNA from 1 species